GACGUAGGGCGCGAGCGUUGUCCGGAUUUAUUGGGCGUAAAGAGCACGUAGGCGGCUCAUCGCGUCUGCCGUGAAAACCCGCAGCUCAACUGCGGGCUUGCGGUUGAUACGGGUGGGCUGGAGUUCGGUAGGGGAGACUGGAAUUCCUGGUGUAGCGGUGAAAUGCGCAGAUAUCAGGAGGAACACCGGUGGCGAAGGCGGGUCUCUGGGCCGAUACUGACGCUGAGGAGCGAAAGCGUGGGGAGCGAACAGG
rnacentral:rRNA from 1 species